rnacentral:rRNA from 1 species
AUUGAACGCUGGCGGAAUGCUUUACACAUGCAAGUCGAGCGGCAGCGCGGGGCAACCUGGCGGCGAGCGGCGAACGGGUGAGUAAUACAUCGGAACGUGCCCAGACGUGGGGGAUAACUACUCGAAAGAGUGGCUAAUAACGCAUACGAUCUGAGGAUGAAAGCGGGGGAUCGCAAGACCCCGCGCGUCUGGAGCGGCCGAUGGCAGAUUAGGUAGUGGGUGAGGUAAAGGCUUACCAAGCCUGCGCUCUGUAGCCGGUCUGCGAGGAUGAUCAGCCACACUGGGACUGAGACACGGCCCAGACUCCUACGGGAGGCAGCAGUGGGGAAUUUUGGACAAUGGGCGAAAGCCUGAUCCAGCCAUUCCGCGUGCAGGAUGAAGGCCCUCGGGUUGUAAACUGCUUUUGUACGGAACGAAAAAGCUCCGGCUAAUACCUGGAGUCCAUGACGGUACCGUAAGAAUAAGCACCGGCUAACUACGUGCCAGCCGCCGCGGUAA